GGCCUCGUGGCCCAAUGGCAAGGCGUCUGACUACGAAGAUAUUCAUUACGAACUUGUGCCGCAAUGAAUGCUUUAUGGUAAUCAGGAGAUUCUGGGUUCGACCCCCAGCGAGAUCA